rnacentral:lncRNA from 1 species
GCCCUGAGGGAAGGGGGCAGCCAUAGCCCACCCCUGGGUGGAGUCAGGAUGGGCCAACUGUCUCCUCCACCGCCAGGUUCUCGAAGCAGCUGUGCUGCCGAAGGUGACUCCCACCACGGUCCGGCAGCCUGGAGGGUCCCUGGAGACAGGCCUUCUUCUCCGAGUGGAGCCCUCAGCUCUGCCUGGCCUGGUGACAGCAAAGGAUCGCCAUGUCCUCAUGGUAUGAGUCCUCGGAGAGGAAGCUCCCCAGAAGGGGAAGUGGUUCUUACAGGUGCCGGGCAUCUGGGCUUGAUUCAAAUCAGGACAGAGUGACGGGUGUGACUGGACGGGCCCCUGUGUCAUCAGGGGCUAACCCCAGGCUCAGAACCCAGUGGUGUAACUUUGAAUCACGCUAGAACUCUUGUGUUGCUGGAGAAAGCUGGGUCCAUCCGCCCCGCAGCCACCUGCAUGGACGCCCUCCCAGCGCGGGGAGCAAAUGCAGAAACAGAGGAGCGGCUCCCUCCUUUGACAGAGCCCUGCGUUCCGGUGGUUAUUCCAGAGACGAAACAAGGAAACCUCCUAGACAAGGGAUCAUUUAAACAUUGCUUGAAUCCAAACUCAGAGAUUUCAUCAACGCCUGAGCCUCAUGUGCCAACAUCACCAGGGCGUCCCUCAUCCCCGCCCGGGAGCAGGCAGAUGUCCUACAAGUUCCUGCAGAGGCUGCUCUCCGGCCCUGUGUGUGCCCGCCGGGCAGCAGGGCCAUGCUGACUAAUCACCCAUGGGAAGGCUUCGAGGGACGAGAAAGCAAUGCAUCAGCCACUAUUUCACUGGGACCUUUAGAGCAAGAACCAGCAGAAACCAGGUGAUGAACGAGCUGGGAAAACAUAAGGAAAACACCAGAUGAGUCCAAGAGGAAUUCGCUUCCUGGAGAAAAGCUCAACCUGUUGGGCCCAAGGUGCUGAAAAGAGUGUCUCCUUGCCAGGGGUCCCCAUGCCACAGCCACCUUGGCGUCUCCCUCUGCAACCUGAGAGCAGCUACCAGAUGUUUGUUAGGGUGGGAAACACUGAGUCCCUGAUGAAGGCCCAGCUUGAGCCAUCUUGGUGUGGAAGUCACUGGGCCAGAGUUUUCUAGAACUUGAGACCUUGAAGGGCACCCCACUCUACCUCUCCUUUCGAAGGAUCCUACUCUCCGAGGCUGCAGAGCCAUGCAGGCAUCUAACCAGAACUCCCAGCUGCAUGGAACGUUUGAAUCUGUUUUGCAAUCGUCACCAAGCGCCACGCUGCGUCCAGCUCUUAAAGCCCCUGGGGGCACCGCCCUUUCCAUCUAACUCGGCAUCCUUCAUCCUCACCCCAACACUCACUCAAGGAUCAGGGGUGAGGACAGAGUCGGGGGAUGGGUUUGGCUCAGGUGCAGCUCACCCGUCCAGACUGCUUUCUCUCUCUCCAGCCUCAGGGUGAAUAAGAGGUCGGCAGGAUCACAGCCCCCAGAGGCCCCCACUUAAUCACCCUAAUCCCCAGAGCCUGUGAAUCCGAUAGGCUACAGAGCACAAGGGGCCUGGCAGAUGGGAUUAAGU